rnacentral:tRNA from 1 species
GAGGUAAACUAAUGGACUUCUAAUCCAUAAAAAAGUGUAAACUUAUACCUUA